GUCUGACUAGUUCAGUUGGUUAGAGCAUUGUACUGAUAUGACAAGGUUGUGGGUUCAUUCCCUGGUCAGGCU
rfam:Myotis lucifugus cont2.51672, whole genome shotgun sequence.